rnacentral:rRNA from 1 species
GACCUGGUCGGGUGGUCCGCCUAACGGUGUGUACUGCUUGACUGGGCCUUACCUCUUGGUGAGCCGGCGUGCCCUUUAUUGGUGUGCGCCGGGGAACCAGGACUUUUACCUUGAGAAAAUUAGAGUGUUCAAAGCAGGCUAUUGCCUGAAUACAUUAGCAUGGAAUAAUAAAAUAGGACGUGCGGUUCUAUUUUGUUGGUUUCUAGAGUCGCCGUA